UAUAUAAUCCAUUUAAUUAGAAUGAACGAAGCAGGUCAAUCACAGCCGCCACGAGCACGUUCUACGGCCCAGACUCCAUAGCUGCUGAGCAAACAAACAAGUAGACAUAUUGCAACCUCAGCGAUCAUCGUUUCUAACAUAUUCAACACCCAACCUCGACUUCAAUAUCAACCGAUUGUUUUCUCAUCGUACCUACAACUCUCACGUGUCCAAUCAGACACCGCCAACGAAACCAGUAAGACCCGCACCGACUCACGCCAUCACAACCCGGAUUUGUACGCCGGGUUCAAAGCCGAUUUCAUAUAUCCCCUUCACGUCCGUCACGAAACGGUCCACCAAGGCUGAGUCUUCAGCUGAAAGCAACUCCGCUUGGCACAGUGUUGGGCUCAGUUUGUUGAAAUUUGCGAAUUUAAUUGGCUCAAUAAUUGUUAUUUGGUGCUCUGGGGCAAAAGGAAAUGGAUUUGGUAGCUCACUGUAAGGGAAAGUUGGCAUCUUUUCGAAUCAAAGAGCUCAAGGAUGUUCUGACACAGCUGGGUCUUCCAAAGCAAGGGAGGAAACAGGAUCUGGUCGAGAGAAUCUUAGCAUUAGUUUCAGGUGAAGAAACAUCCAAUACACGGCAUUUGCCAAAGGAAAAAUUCAUUGAGAAGAAAGAAGUAGCAGAAAUAAUUAAUGAAGCUUACAGAAAAAUGCAGAUUGUACCGUCAACUGAUUCUGCUUCAAAAGAACAGAGUGGUUCAGAUACCUGCAGUGUGAAGCCUAAAAAGGAAGUUAAGAAUUUUAGUGAUACAAAUGCGAAGAUUUGCUGCCCCUGUGGAAGUUCUUUGUCUACUGAGGCAAUGAUACAGUGUGUGGACCCAAGGUGUCAAGUGCAGCAACAUAUUCGCUGUGUUAUUAUUCCAGAGAAAACAACGGAUUGCAAUCUACCAGUCCGGCCUCUCUUCUACUGUGAAAUGUGUCGUCUCAAACGUGCAGAUCCUUUUUGGGUGAAUGAGGUAGAUCUACUAUCUCCGGUGAAAUUAGUGGCUUCAAAUAUUCCAAUUGAUGGUGCAAAUCCUACUCAGAAUGUGGAGAAGACAUUUCAACUUUCCAGAGCCAAUAAAGAUCUUCUUCAGGAUAAUGAAUAUGAUGUUCAGGCUUGGUGUAUGCUUCUCAAUGAUAGUGUUCCAUUUAGGAUGCAAUGGCCACAGUUUGCAGAUUUACAGGUCAACGGUAUGAGUGUUAGGACAGUUAAUAGACCGGAACAUCAAUUGUUAGGUGCUAAUGGUCGUGAUGAUGGAGCAUUAAUCACAUUAUGCCUUGGGUAUGGAAUCAAUAAGAUUUCAUUAUCAGGGUGUGAUAAGCGUGCUUUCUGUUUCGGUGUCAGACUUGUAAAGCGACGUACAGUUCAGCAGGUUCUCAACUUGAUUCCUAAAGAAGAAGAUGGGGAGCUUUUUGAAGAUGCACUUGCGCGAGUUUGUCGUUGCAUUGGUGGUGGGCCUGCUAAGGCACCCGAAGAUAGUGACAGUGAUUUGGAAGUGAUUUCAGACUCAGUGUCAGUAAAUCUCCGAUGCCCUAUGAGUGGCUGUCGAAUGAAGGUAGCUGGCAGAUUCAAACCUUGCGUCCACAUGGGUUGCUUUGAUCUUGAAACUUUUGUGGAGCUAAACCAACGCUCUAGGAAGUGGCAAUGCCCUGUAUGCCUCAAGAACUACUCCUUGGAGGACAUCAUCAUUGACCGCUACUUCAAUCGCAUUACAAUGAUGAUGCUAAAGUGUGGGGAAGACAUAACAGAGAUCAAUGUGAAGCCAGAUGGUUCUUGGAGUGCAAAGACCAAAGGUGAGUUUAGUGAUCUUGCGCAAUGGCAUUUGCCUGAUGGAUCUUUAUGUGCUGGUAUGAAUUUGGAAACCUCAAGGCAGUUCAAGCUGGAAUCUUGUACAAACGAACAUAGUGGAUUUAUGCAUAAUCCUUGUGGGGUUACGGAAGUUAGUGGACAUCAGCAUGGCCCACUAGAGGAAGAGUUUGAGGUUUGCAGUCAAAAUGUGAUAACAAUGAGCAGCAGUGCCACAGGAAGUGGUAGAGAUGAUGAAGGUAUGAACCAGAACUGCAAUGUCUCCGCCAACGAUGACAACGAAAUCAACUCAGCUUCUCGUAAUUUUGACCCAACAUUUGCAAUUAUGAGCGGUGGUUCUGCUCAGGCUGGGAAUGCUGAUAUCAUUAUUCUUAGUGACUCUGAAGAAGAAGAUGUCCACUUGGUUUCUCCUGGAACUGUCUACAAUACUUUGCCAGUAGGUGGCAGUGGGUGUUCUCUGUCUGUACCUCCUGGCUUUUCAGGCUCAUAUGCACAAGAUCCAGCUCUGAAAGUGUGUGCAAGCUCUUCUUUGGGUCUCUUUAAUGAAAAUGGAAAUGAUAUUGGGAUGUCUCAGUAUCCAUAUCCUUCAGGCACUGAAGCAGAUCCUGGGUUCCAGUUAUUUGGUACAGAUUCAGAUAUUUCAGAUGCUUUCAUUGAUUUGGAGCAGACAGAAGUUGCCCGUUCAGCUCCAACAAAUGGUAACACAUUGGUCUUGGAGGAAAUUCUAAAUCCAAGCAGACAGGUUUUAAACUCGUCUGGUUCCCAUGCCAAUGCUCACUUGGAUAACAGCUUGGUUGAUGAUCCUUUGGCCUUUGUUAGUGAGGACGGCUCACUACAAAAUUUUCUUCCAACUCAGCCCUCUGGUUUGUUGGAGCAAUCUGAUUCUGGACAACAUCCUCCAGAUUCAAAUGGAAUUAAUACUGAGGAUUGGAUGUCUCUUAGACUUGGUAGUAUCGGUGAAAUUGUCCCCAAUGAUAUUGAGGCCUGCACUGAAUCUGCAAGGACAAAUGAACUACGUUUGAGAAACCAAUGUGGAUCAGAUAAAGUUGCUUUAGUUAAGGGUCUAAAUAAUGGAGCUCGGUCAAAAAGAGAAAAUUCAAGGAAAUUUUCUGAUGGACCUUUCUCCUUUCCUCGUCAGCCAAGGUCUGUAAGACAACGAGUGUGUCUAUCGAUAGAGUCCAACUCUGAAUAGAAAAGGAGAAGCAAACAUCUUCAUUUUUGUAAAUUCAAGGUUUCAGCCAUGUGCAAAGCCGAUUGACCGCAAUGUUAGUUGUUAUAACCUCUCAUCUCACUAAUCUUAUUGGCAGCUCUUGAACCACUUUAUUUUGUGGUAACUGUAUUUUCUUUUCUACUUGGCGAUAUUGUUGAAGGUGCAGGUUCGACUUGCUCCUCCUGUAAUGAUUUUGCACUGAAAAUACCAUUUUAUACAACACAAUCAAUCUCUAUCCACCAAUAAUUAACAAUUGGGCAUAGUGCAAGCUUCACCCCUGUAACUUAUUCAACGGUGCUCUUUAUGUGCCACCAUGACCAACAAAGUGUAAAACAUUUAGAUGUUUUAGCAUGCAAACGAUGUAUAUGUAAAGAGAAAGUUUUGAUCUGUAGGGUUGUCAGUUGUGGAAUGCAUUCUUACUAACUCAUAAUAUUUUAUGCUUUAUGAGAGUAGUAGUGAGGGAUGACUUCAAUGGGGAAGCAUUGUGCUGGUUAAGUCGUAGGUCUUGUAGUUAUAGUUAUGAUUGCGAAAUUCCGCCUAUGCGUAUUUGAUUCUGCAGUAGAUACACGCCUAACCUUUUUCCGCUGCAGCAACUUUAGAGUUUAGAAAGAAACGGGAAGAAGAGAUGGAUGCCACCAAGAGGGGGAAGUAUGCUAGAAUGCCCAUGGUUAAUGCAAGUGUUAACUGUUUAAAAAAGAGAAUUCUCUCUACUCUCCAUGUUUAUGCAAUAUGGCAGUUCUAAUUUUACUGUGUAGCUAUAUUGUGAGUUUGAAUUUGUAAAUUUGUAUUAUGAGCAGAGUGAAUACAGGGACAUCUUUGAAAAGCAGCACCCUGAUUGAAUUGGACUGCAGGAAUUUGGCUCUGAAUUUAAUUUGGUAUUAUUGUCCA